rnacentral:lncRNA from 1 species
AAGCAAUGGAACAGCAGAAGCCAAGUGGGAACUUGUGUUUGGACUGCCAGUGUCCAUGGCAACAGGCUUCUGACUGGCAUCUCCAUCUUGUUGCAGAAAGAAUCCAAGGGGACUGACCUUUGAGGCCAUUUUACAGAUGAGCAUACUGAGGAUGCAACAUGGGCAAUGCGCUCACCUGUGGCCUGAUGGAAGCCUGAGAUUUCAACUCUGAAGCCCUCUUUGCUCCGAAGUUGCUAAGACAACACCAUGGCUUAGCAGUUAAGCUAGGCUCCCUCCCAAAGCCUCACCCACACCCCCAUCCAGAGAGGAUUUCUGUCUAGCACCAGUGGAAAACAUGGAGGUUCCCUUCACUCCAGGACCUUCUUGUGAAACCUAAGAUCUUUUUUCUCUGUGUCUGAGCCUGGACAGUCCAUCUACCUGGAGAAGAAGACAGAUAAAUCCAGCCAGUGCCUACAGUUUUCUUCCACUCCCUGUCCCUGUCUUCUAAUACUUACCAAAAUAAAAGCUUGCCUUUGACCACCGUACGCAUUGAAAACGUUCACCUC